AUUGAACGCUGGCGGCAUGCCUUACACAUGCAAGUCGAACGGCAGCACGGGGCAACCUGGUGGCGAGUGGCGAACGGGUGAGUAAUGCAUCGGAACGUGCCAUUGAGUGGGGGAUAACGUAGCGAAAGUUGCGCUAAUACCGCAUAUUCUGUGAGCAGGAAAGCAGGGGACCGCAAGGCCUUGCGCUCUUUGAGCGGCCGAUGUCAGAUUAGCUAGUUGGUGAGGUAACGGCUUACCAAGGCGACGAUCUGUAGCGGGUCUGAGAGGAUGAUCCGCUACACUGGGACUGAGACACGGUCCAGACUCCUACGGGAGGCAACAGUGGGGAAUUUUGGACAAUGGGCGCAAGCCUGAUCCAGCCAUGCCGCGUGGGUGAAGAAGGG
rnacentral:rRNA from 1 species